UCUAAGGUUGAGGCCGCGUUUCAGAACAUGGGUUCUUUAGUGUCCCAACCUUUUGAAGAGUUCAAGGUCGCCGCACCUCCCGAAACCGCCUCACCACCCAAGCCUGCGCCCCCAGCCACUCCCAGAGCGCCAGCCCCUCCGGCGCAAGCCCCCGUAUUUAAAAGCUGCUGGAGUUGUCGCGUACUCUCUGGGUUUGGGCUGAUGGGCGCGGGCGGGUACGUGUACUUGGUGUCGCGGAAGCCCAUGAAGCUGGGCUACCCCCCGGGUCCCGGGACUAUUGCGCAGAUGGUCGUCGGCAUCAGCAUUUUCUGCUGGGGUGUAGUUAUCCUGACAGACCCCAAAGGAAAGUCCUACCGGACUGAUUGAAGAAACCACCUGUGAAUUUGUCUUCUCUCAUCCCUGUCCCUGCGACACACAGAGCAAGCAUGGGGUUUGUGGAUGUUCUGGACAGACACUUGGAUAUGGACAGACUUCAGUACUGUGGAUACUAUAAGACUGAAAAGACAAUCAUAGAAGUACACGAAACUUUGUAUCUGUGGACCGCUUAUACUUUCCAAGGCACUUUCAAGUCCAUCACCUCCUGAGAGCUUCACAGGUUUCUCAGCCUGGCUGUGUCUGAAGUAGGGACCUCCUGAAAGAAGCCAGUUGAUUUGACAACAUAAAAUAUACUGCUCUUGAAUUAAAUAUGUUCAGGGCAAGUGUAUGUUCAAGUACCCCCUCAAACCAGGCUUGGCCUCAACUGAUUUAUUGCCAGGACUACAUUGAUCAAACUGACACUUCUCAAAUCUUAAAAAAAAAAAAAAAGUAAGCAAUUUUAGUUGAAAAGCUGCUCUUUUGGUUUGUUUUGUUUUUGUUUUAGUUUUAAAUGACAGAUAAAUCCUUGCCUUGACCCAUUGAUUAUGUAGGUGUUAGGGUCACAGGGUUGGAGGUGAAGAUCCAUAAUUACACAUCAUUCAGAGGUAUCCUAACAGCAUGGGGCAAAAAUAUGUCACUCUUAUAAAAUGCAUGUGUCUUGGCCUUUGAGAUAUUCAACUUGUCAUUCAAAUAUAAAUGGAGUGUAGAGAAAUAGCCAAAGGGGCAAAUGUUAAAUGCAGCAGUGCCACUAAAAGUCACUGCUCAGUCAUGUGACUGAACUUGCAUAUGUUUCAGGAAUGUGGUAGACUGGAUCUUAAGAUGUUCCCCAAGGUUCCAAGCCCCACACCUUCCAGUUAUUCAACCAAACACCAUUCUAGGUGCUGCUAUGAAGGGAUUUUGCAGAUGUAAUUAAGGUGCCAGAUCAGUUGACCAUAAAAUAGGGAGAUUAUCCAGAUGGACUAAUCAUGAGCCAAUUAAAUCUGGGUCUGGAAGUCUGAGAUAAGAUAAGUCAGAGAUUAGAAGCAUGAGGAAGAUUCAGUGCUCCAGAAGUUCUGUGCUGGCGUGGAAGACAGCGAACGUGGGGGCCACGUGGCAAGGAACUGCAGGCAGUCUGAAGCUGCUGAGAGUAGUCCACAGCUGACAGCUAGAAGAGCAAUGAAGACCUCAAUUCUCUAACUGCAAGGAAAUGGAUUGCUGCCAAUGGCCUGUGAACUUGGAAGAGGGUCCUCUAGGAACCAAGAACCACAGCCCUGGCCAACAGCUUGGUUUUUAGCCUGGUAAGACCCUAAGCAGUGUAUCCAGUCAGGCUGUGAAACUGUGAGAUAAUAAAUUUCUGUUGUUUUAA